CCUUCUUGAGUGGGCAUGGAGCCCCAGCAUGCUGGUUCAAUAAAUCCCCCUUCUGCCAAUUGCAUGAGUGGUCACUUGGUGGUCUCUUUCUCCGACGUUUCGCGGGACCCUUACAUUUGGUGCGUUGGCCGGGAAAAGCGCAUCGCCGGACAAGGAGACCCCCAACGGACUCCUUUAGGGGGUAUACAAGUCUGUAAGGUAGAAGCUUCAAAAGAACAUUGUAUCAAGCUGGUGUUCUAAAGUUGUAUGGUAAUUUUAGACUUACAAGAAAAAAAACAUGUUGGAGAUUUGUUCAUAUCAUUUGUGUUCUACAACUGGACUUGUUAUCAAUAAGAUAUGUACAGUUCCAUGUUACUUUUCACACUGAGAUACAAUUUAAAUGUAUUUUUAAGUUAAUGAGAGCCUAAUAUGUGUGAAGGUUUUAUUGAAAAACACAAAAGUACAUUACUACUUUUCUACAAGAGGUUAAAAGCUUUCAGCCUUUAAUUCAUGUUUUAGGUGUGAUAUUAUGUUGUGUUAGUUAAUGUUCAUGUAAACUUGAACAACAAUUUAUGUAAACUUUGUAAAAUGAUCAGCUUCAGAACUAUAGUACUUGAGAUUUAUAAAGAGCCCUGCCUUACUUGAGAUAAGGCUCUGUCCCAUCUCACUACAUGUGAAAGUGGCUAUGAAAGAAAUAAGCCAGAUUUCAGUACAGUUAAAGUUGUGUCCAAAAGUAGGUUUUUGCCAAGAUUACUAGGAUCUCAAAUAGGAAAUUAUGAUGUAUAACCCUGCCAGAAUUCAAGGUAGCUAUUAUAUAAGCUAAAUAUGUUUUUACCCUAGUUAUUUUUGUUUUGUAGUUUGCCUAUAGAUGGUUUAAGGAUUGCCUGUUAAUGUUUUAAAGAGGUAUUGCUUUAAGAACACAACCUGGGUCAAUAUAAGAUAAGGAGUUAUCACCUACAGGAUAGAGAGAUAAACAUUAAACCCAGUGCUCUUAAUAUAAGGCUAUUAACUUAUUUGCUGGAUGUUUAAGAUCAAGUUUUUAAAAUUAGUUAAAUUAAAAGGGCCAAGAAAACCAAUAUUCGGCUCUUGCCCUCUGAGUCAGUCUGAAUCAGGGAAUAGGGGACUUCUCCAAAGGAUUCUGCAACUCUAGGCCACAUAACCUCCUGAGCAGGGAGAUUAAUGAGACCAGUGGAGGACAGAAAGCCAAUUGGUACAUUUGCUGUGAAGAGGAGGGUCAUCAGAAAGGGGAGACAUCCCUGAUGCUUCUGAGGGAAGCCACAUGGUCAAGCAAGGCCUGGACCCAUCCUAAGGUAAAUGGCACUAGCAGAACUGAGAAGCUGCUAUGAAGUUCCCCGAGGACUCCCAGGGAAACUCGGCUGACUGUUGACAAUAGAUAAGAACAAAAGUCAGUUUGACUUGCUUCAUCUUAAACACUUAGCAAAGAUAGUUAAAGCCAAAGCACAGCUGUUCCUGGACAUUUUAAAUGAUAAUAAUAGUUAAAUGUAACUUCCAAAAAUAAGUAAACUAGAGGCUACAAAAGAGAUUCUCAGACAGGAAUGCCUGAUAACUAUUAAAAGGAACUGCCAGAGUAGUUUUUAGUUCAAGGCCCACAGAUAUUCCUAACCUACACAGGUAGGCUUGGUGUUUGCUAGUAUGGUUAUCCAGCCCUAAGUAGCAAAAUUAAAGGUUUCUCUAUUAGACAUAGGUCAUACUAGUAAAAAGGACAUCUGUAAACCUAAAUGUUAGUUGUUGUGUUUACAUCCCUGACAUUCCUGGCAAGGUGAUAAAUAUCCUUAAAGAUUUACAUGCUUAGAUAGAAGCCAUGUCCUCAGCAACUUUGUCGUGGAAACAAUAUCUUAGCUUCUGGUUCUUGGUACUUCCUGGUGGAAAACAUUGUUAGUCUCUGUCUUGGCCAUUAUACUCAUUGGCAUAUUCCUGUGCUGUGACAUUUAUUGCUGCAUCAAUAUGGUUCCAGUAAAUUAAUGAAUUCUUGUUUCUCUUAUAGACCACCUAUCACUCGAAUGGCCCUCCAGCCUAAUACUUCUCAAUUGGACUUUUAUCAUGGACCACUCGAUAGACCCAAUAUUUUUAAAGGGGAACUCCAAACUGCUUGCCCCACACCGUCCCUUUUCAGCCUGAAGAAGCCAGAAAGAUUCUCUUCGCCCCCCCUUCCUUACAGCAGUAAGGAGUUCCCAAAUUAGAGGGGGAAAUGAAGCCAGAUUUUAAGUUAGGUAGUCAGUGUAGUUAGAUAAAUCGGGGUCUAAUACCGAGUGGAAUCUAAAAUGGAGGCCAUGCUGAAAAUGAUUCCAGGGAACGCAAAACAACUCAUGAAAUGUGAAACCCUUCAAUAAUUGUGAUGCAUUACUUUUAAGAUUAAAAGUAGUCAGAAAAAGGAGUGGGGAAUGUAAGGGUAAAAGAAAUUGAAGUUAAAGCGUAAAAGUUAAAGGGUAAAAGACCAG
rnacentral:lncRNA from 1 species